GGCAACCCUGACGGAGCAACGCCGCGUGUGGGAGGACGGCCUUCGGGUUGUAAACCACUUUUCUCAGGGAAGAAGGACUGACGGUACCUGAGGAAUAAGCCUCGGCUAACUCCGUGCCAGCAGCCGCGGUAAUACGAGGGAUGCAAGCGUUAUCAGGAAUUAUUGGGCGUAAAGCGUUCGUAGGUGGCUAGAUAAGUCUGUCGUCAAAGCAUGGAGCUUAACUCCAUUAAGGCGAUGGAAACUGUUUGGCUAGAGUGUGGUAGGGGUAACAGGAAUUCCCAGUGUAGCGGUGAAAUGCGUAGAUAUUGGGAAGAACACCAGUGGCGAAGGCGCUCUACUGGGCCGCGACUGACGCUGAGGGACGAAAGCUAGGGGAGCG
rnacentral:rRNA from 1 species